rnacentral:misc_RNA from 1 species
GAUGAAGAACGCAGCGAAAUGCGAUAAGUAAUGUGAAUUGCAGAAUUCAGUGAAUCAUCGAAUCUUUGAACGCACCUUGCGCCCUUUGGCUAUUCCGAAGGGCAUGCCUGUUUGAGUAUCGUGAACACCUCAACUCUCAUGGUUUGCCAUGAUGAGCUUGGACUUGGGGGUUUUGCUGGCCUUCGGUCGGCUCCUCUCAAACGGAUCAGCUUUCCAGUGUUUGGUGGCGUCACGGGUGUGAUAACUAUCUACGCCUGUGGUUUUCUGCCAGAUAACCUUCAGCGAUGGAGGUUCGCUGGGCUCAUAAAUGUCUCUCUUCAGUGGAGACAGCUUUUUGGACGUUUGAUCUCAAAUCAGGUAGGACUACCCGCUGAACUUAAGCAUAUCAAUAAGCGGAGGA